rnacentral:rRNA from 1 species
GAUGAACGCUGGCGGCGUGCCUAAUACAUGCAAGUCGAGCGAACGGACGAGAAGCUUGCUUCUCUGAUGUUAGCGGCGGACGGGUGAGUAACACGUGGAUAACCUACCUAUAAGACUGGGAUAACUUCGGGAAACCGGAGCUAAUACCGGAUAAUAUUUUGAACCGCAUGGUUCAAAAGUGAAAGACGGUCUUGCUGUCACUUAUAGAUGGAUCCGCGCUGCAUUAGCUAGUUGGUAAGGUAACGGCUUACCAAGGCAACGAUGCAUAGCCGACCUGAGAGGGUGAUCGGCCACACUGGAACUGAGACACGGUCCAGACUCCUACGGGAGGCAGCAGUAGGGAAUCUUCCGCAAUGGGCGAAAGCCUGACGGAGCAACGCCGCGUGAGUGAUGAAGGUCUUCGGAUCGUAAAACUCUGUUAUUAGGGAAGAACAUAUGUGUAAGUAACUGUGCACAUCUUGACGGUACCUAAUCAGAAAGCCACGGCUAACUACGUGCCAGCAGCCGCGGUAAUACGUAGGUGGCAAGCGUUAUCCGGAAUUAUUGGGCGUAAAGCGCGCGUAGGCGGUUUUUUAAGUCUGAUGUGAAAGCCCACGGCUCAACCGUGGAGGGUCAUUGGAAACUGGAAAACUUGAGUGCAGAAGAGGAAAGUGGAAUUCCAUGUGUAGCGGUGAAAUGCGCAGAGAUAUGGAGGAACACCAGUGGCGAAGGCGACUUUCUGGUCUGUAACUGACGCUGAUGUGCGAAAGCGUGGGGAUCAAACAGGAUUAGAUACCCUGGUAGUCCACGCCGUAAACGAUGAGUGCUAAGUGUUAGGGGGUUUCCGCCCCUUAGUGCCGCAGCUAACGCAUUAAGCACUCCGCCUGGGGAGUACGACCGCAAGGUUGAAACUCAAAGGAAUUGACGGGGACCCGCACGAGCGGUGGAGCAUGUGGUUUAAUUCGAAGCAACGCGGAGAACCUUACCAAAUCUUGACAUCCUUUGACAACUCUAGAGAUAGAGCCUUCCCCUUCGGGGGACAAAGUGACAGGUGGUGCAUGGUUGUCGUCAGCUCGUGUCGUGAGAUGUUGGGUUAAGUCCCGCAACGAGCGCAACCCUUAAGCUUAGUUGCCAUCAUUAAGUUGGGCACUCUAAGUUGACUGCCGGUGACAAACCGGAGGAAGGUGGGGAUGACGUCAAAUCAUCAUGCCCCUUAUGAUUUGGGCUACACACGUGCUACAAUGGACAAUACAAAGGGCAGCGAAACCGCGAGGCCAAGCAAAUCCCAUAAAGUUGUUCUCAGUUCGGAUUGUAGUCUGCAACUCGACUACAUGAAGCUGGAAUCGCUAGUAAUCGUAGAUCAGCAUGCUACGGUGAAUACGUUCCCGGGUCU